GUUCGAUCCUGGCUCAGAUUGAACGCUGGCGGGAUGCUUUACACGCUGGGAGUCGAACGGCAGCACGGACUUCGGUCUGGUGGCGAGUGGCGAACGGGUGAGUAAUGUAUCGGAACGUGCCUAGUAGCGGGGGAUAACUGCGCGAAAGCGUAGCUAAUACCACGCACGCCCUUCGGGGGAAAAGCGGGGGACCUUCGAGCUCGCACUAUUAGAGCGGCCGAUAUCGGAUUAGCUAAGUUGGUGGGGUAACGGCUCGCAAGGCGACGAUCCGUAGCUGGUUUGAGAGGACGACCAACCACACUGGGACUGAGACACGGCCCAGACUCCUACGGGGAGGCAGCAGUGGGGAAUUUUGGACAAUGGGGAAACCACAGUCAGCCAUCCCGCGUGUGCGAUGAAGGCCUUCGGGUUGUAAAGCACUUUUGGCAGGAAAGAAACGGCACGGGAUAAUACCUGCAGCUGACAGUACCUGCAGAAUAAGCACCGGCUAACUACGUGCCAGCAGCCGCGGUAAUACGUAGGGUGCAAGCGUUAAUCGGAAUUACUGGGCGUAAAGCGUGCGCAGGCGGUUCGGAAGAAAGAUGUGAAAUCAGAACCUUUUGGAACUGCAUUUUUGCUACCGAGCUAGAGUGUGUCAGAGAGGGAGGUGGAAUUCCGCGUGUAGCAGUGAAAUGCGUAGAUAUGCGGAAGACACCGAUGGCGAAAGAGCAGCCUCCUGGGAUAACACUGACGCUCAUGCACGAAAGCAUUAAGGAGCAAACAGGAUUAGAUACCUGGUAGUCCACGCCUAAACGAUAUUAACUAGCUGUUGGGGCCUUCGGGCCUUGUGGCGCAGCUAACGCGUGAAGUUGACCGCCUGGGGAGUACGGUCGCAAGAUUAAAGCUCAAAGGGUUUGACGGGGACCCGCACAAGCGGUGGAUGAUGUGGAUUAAUUCGAUGCAACGCGAAAAACCUUACCUACCCUUGACAUGUCUGGAAUCCCGAAGAGAUUUGGGAGUGCUCGCAAGAGAACCGGAACUGCAGGUGCUGCAUGGCUGUCGUCAGCUCGUGUCGUGAGAUGUUGAGUUGGUCCACAACGAAGCACGUACCAACUCAUUAGUUGCUACGAAGGGCACUCUAAUGAGACUGCCGGUGACAAACCGGAGGAAGGUGGGGAUAGCGUCAAGUCCUCAUGGCCCGCUAUGGGUAGGGCUUCACACGUCAUACAAUGGUCGGGACAGAGGGUCGCCAACCCGCGAGAGGCCAAUCCCAGAAACCCGAUCGUAGUCCGGAUCGCAGUCUGCAACUCGACUGCGUGAAGUCAGAAUCGCUAGUAAUCGCGGAUCAGCAUGUCGCGGUGAAUACGUUCCAGGUCUUGUACACACCGCCCGUCACACCAUGGGAGUGGGUUUUACCAGAAGUAGUUAGCCUAACCGUAAGGAGGGCGAUUACCACGGUAGGAUUCAUGACUGGGGUGAAGUCGUAACAAGGUAG
rnacentral:rRNA from 1 species